GAAGUAAAAGUCGUAACAAGGUUUCCGUAGGUGAACCUGCGGAAGGAUCAUUACCUAGAGUUGUAGGCUUUGCCUGCUAUCUCUUACCCAUGUCUUUUGAGUACCUUCGUUUCCUCGGUGGGUUCGCCCGCCGAUUGGACAAAACUUAAACCCUUUGUAGUUGCAAUCAGCGUCUGAAAAAACUUAAUAGUUACAACUUUCAACAACGGAUCUCUUGGUUCUGGCAUCGAUGAAGAACGCAGCGAAAUGCGAUAAGUAGUGUGAAUUGCAGAAUUCAGUGAAUCAUCGAAUCUUUGAACGCACAUUGCGCCCCUUGGUAUUCCAUGGGGCAUGCCUGUUCGAGCGUCAUUUGUACCUUCAAGCUCUGCUUGGUGUUGGGUGUUUGUCUCGCCUUUGCGUGUAGACUCGCCUCAAAACAAUUGGCAGCCGGCGUAUUGAUUUCGGAGCGCAGUACAUCUCGCGCUUUGCACUCAUAACGACGACGUCCAAAAAGUACAUUUUUACACUCUUGACCUCGGAUCAGGUAGGGAUACCCGCUGAACUUAAGCAU
rnacentral:rRNA from 1 species